rnacentral:rRNA from 1 species
GGGGAAUCUUGCACAAUGGAGGAAACUCUGAUGCAGCGACGCCGCGUGAGCGAAGAAGCCUUUCGGGGUGUAAAGCUCUUACGCCAGGGACGAUAAUGACGGUACCUGGAGAAGCAGCUGCGGCCAACUACGUGCCAGCAGCCGCGGUAAUACGUAGGCAGCAAGCGUUGUUCGGAAUUACUGGGCGUAAAGGGUGCGUAGGCGGCGCUCUAAGUUUGGUGUGAAAUCUCCCGGCUUAACUGGGAGGGUGCACUGAAAACUGGGGCGCUCGAGUAUGGGAGAGGAAAGCGGAAUUCCUGGUGUAGCGGUGAAAUGCGUAGAGAUCAGGAGGAACACCUGCGGUGCAGACGGCUUUCUGGACCAUCACUGACGCUGAGGCACGAAAGCGUGGGUAGCAAACA